AUGGAAAAUUGCAUUUUUGGAAUUUGCAAUAAUGCGAUGGGCGAACGACGGGAAUUGAACCCGCGCAUGGUGGAUUCACAAUCCACUGUCUUGAUCCACUUGGCUACAUCCGCCCCUUAUCCAGCUAAAGGAUUUUUGCUUUUUUCCAUUGAUCAUUAUUCUAUUUAUUCUGACCUCCGUACUUCGAUCGAGAUAUUGGACAUAGAAUGCCACUCUUUAAAAAGGAAAAAAAGGAGUAAUCAGCUGUGA
rnacentral:tRNA from 1 species